GAUGGCCCGAGCCUCGAUGCCAGAAAGAGAGUGGCAUAAUGCUUUUAGAGGACGCGGUGGGAGUGGGCCGCAGAUGCUAAACCAGGCAGUCUUCCUCCAGCGGUGCACCCUAGAGCUCUAGAGAGGGCGACACUGGCCAGUGGCGGGUAAGCACUGCUAACACAUUCUGUCAGCACAGCCUGGCGUGACCCUGUACCACAAGCUCUCUGGUCACAGUGCAGCGAGACUAUCACUGGCCACCAACUGCGCUUCAGACACAAACGGAGCAGACAGUCUGCGGUCGGGGUAAAAGCUAGUGAACAUGACUGGCUGAAAGCUUCAUCUCUGCAGGUAUCAUCUGUCUGUGGCUGAUUAUAACAACCUGUCUGGCAGUCUGCAGGGGUCAGAGGUCUGUACUGGGGACAGUGACUAACUGCAUUAUCCAUUCUGGUAAAUCGGAGCCGGAAGGAUAUGCAGACAAUCACAGGGUUCCUUGAGGAUGUAAGAGCACAGCUUGAAUCAAACUGCUGCUCGUUAUCUGCCAUAUCAUUAUCCCUAAAUUUGGAGUGUGCUAAAUGUGCACUGAAGAGACAACAAUUUAGAUCCUGAAGUGUUGAAAAUGCAGGUCUGGGUGGCUGGAUAUUGCACAACAAAGAAGCAUUCACACAUACAGAAUAUGUUGACAGGUUGCGGAGUGGCUGUAUUGUACUACUAAAAGGGGGAAAUGAAAACCUGUUUGCAGCAGGAGAGGGCUGUGCUGCGCUCCAAUUUUCUCAGCAACAAAAUAUAGCCUUGGUUGGAAGGCAAUUACACUGAAGUGUUCUCCACGAAAAUAGCCAAGAGUCUGGGCCGGGAUCCGCUAGCAGUCACCUCUCAGAUGAGCCCUACCAAUGGCUUCCUGAACCUGAUGAGAAGCUUGACUGGCUUCUAAUGAGGAUGAUGAAUAAGAGAGGACAGGGCAAAAGAAGUCUUGACAGCUCCCUGAAGGACGAGCAAACCGCAGGCAGAGCUCAGGAGAUCGAGGCACUCUAGACUCUGAUACAAAGCUGGACAGUGUUUUAAAUACGUUAUCUUGAUAAAACCUAUUCUCGGUUGGACCCCAAAGAGAGUCUGUCAAUUCAUUGUGACCUGUCAAGAUCCAAAAUGGACCAGAAAACACCAUUAAUGAACCAAAAUAAGCCCCCAUUUAACAUGUGGACCAAAGUAUAUUUAUCAUGGUCACAAAUUAAGAAUUCAUUCCUUAGUUUUAUUAAAUUGUUGCCUUGUUUUUAGUCAAAUCCUGGCUACUAUUAACUAUUAAUUCCGUCAUUUUGGUUAAUUCAUGGCCACAUUGUACUAAUUCGUUCCCACAUUGUAAAUUAAAACAAGGGAAUACAUUUGUACAACAUGGUCAUGAUUUCCUAAAACUAGGUAACUGAUUAGUCCAACAUGGCCAAUUAAGAUUUACUAAAAAUUAUGGGAUUAAUUCUUAAUAUGUGUGGUUUUUUUUUUUUCAGGUUUGGAAUGACAUUGACAGAAAAUUACAGAAUAUUGGGUAAACUUCCUGUACAAUCUUAUAUAAUAUAUAAUCUACAACCUGAAUUCUGGAAAUGUUGGGACGUUUUUUUUAAAUUUGAAUAAAAUGAAAACUAAAAGACUUUCAAAUCACAUGAGCCAAUAUUUUAUUCACAAUAGAACAUAGAGAACAUAACAAAUGUUUAAACGGAGAAAUUUUACACCUUUAUCCACUAUGAACUCAUCUCAAAUUUGAUGCCUGCUACAGGUCACAAAAAAGUUGGCAUGGGGCAACAAAGGGCUGAAAAAGCAAGAAAUUUUGAAAAUAUUCAGCUGGGAGAACAUCUAGAAAUUAAUUAAGUUGUGUGUAUUUCAGCAGGUCAAUGCAAAACCACAUACUGCAGCUAUUAAAACAGCAUGGCUUCGUAGUAGAAGAGUCGGGGUGCUGAAUUGGCCUGCUUGCAGUCCAGAUCUUUCAGCUAUAGAGAACAUUUGGCGCAUCAUUAAACGAAAAAUACGUCAAAGACGACCACAAACUCUUCAGCAGCUGGAAACCUAUAUCAGGCAAAAAUGGGACCAAAUUCCAACAACAAAACUCCAGAAACUCAUAACCUCGAUGCCUAGACGUCUUCAAACUGUUUUGAGAAGAAGAGGAGAUGCUAUACCAUGGUAAACAUGCCCCCGCAGGCCCGGCACCAGGGGGGGGGGCUGGGGUGGCUUUGCCCCCCCACGGACAUAACUGUGCCCCCCCUCCGAACUGAGGGGGACGGCCGGACUUUAGUUUAUCAUGUAUAAUAGUCUAACUCAUAGUGUAAAAUAGUCUAACUGAUUGCUUUUAGAUGGAAAAACUGACCAUAACUCCUGGUCUAGGAUCUGUUUUCUUCGUAAUAAUAGCAUAACGAAAUAGAUUUGGCAAACAAUCCAGUGUAUCUUCUGCUUUGGAAAGCUUCAAAUGAUUUUACAAUGCAUUUUCGCAGAUGGAGCAAAAUAGCCAAUCACAGACCUGUUUGUUGAUUUCUACAACGCAAUGGCCAAUCAGAGGUGUUUAGGUUGGAAUCCAUGCACUCACCACUUUUAUGUCCAGCGCCGAGUUCUAUCAUG